rnacentral:rRNA from 1 species
AUGUGGCACAACACCAGCAAUACCUUGCCGGUGAUGGUCAACGGCCGGCAGACGGGCAACAAAAAGGUUAUGGUGCUGCACACCAACAAGAACUUCGACCAGCAGAGGACCAAAUGGGUGAUGCACCAGUACCACCUCGGGGACCUGGAGCAAGAAAAGGAGUGGGAGCUGGUCCUCUGCAAGAUUUUUUACCAGAUGAACACUAGGGCCAGGACUAAAAAGAUUAUAAGUCGAGCAAGUUUCAACUGGGCUGUAGACUGCCCAGGCUUGGUUUUGUUUUUAACAGGCCCAGCCCAUGACAACAACGGGGCACAAAGAUCCAGCAGAAAGAGUGCAACAAAUCAAAUGAACACGGAAGAAGUACUUGAUAGGUGGGUGGUGGUUGAUACAAUGUGCCCUAGCUGCAACGCGUGGGAAAAUUGA